AAUGUUUUAUUAACGUAUGUUGUGUAUUUGAAUCUGACCUCAUGUCCCAUUAUGGUCUUUAACGUCCCCUCGUCCACUUCCCCUCCAAAGUGCGCACUCCACCUCAGGAGCAACAACAAUGUACAGCUACAUGUAAUACCGCUAACGUUAGCUAGCUUAGCAUUAGCCAGUUAGAUUAAUGCUAGUAAACUAUCUCACGUUAGCCACACGAGUGGCUUUUCAGUAUCACAGUCUCGAUCCUCAUUUAAGCACAGAUUUAGCUAGCCUAGCAUGCACGUUUAUGGCUAGCACAUCAUCAUCCUGUACUCUCUAUUUAGUGACAUCACACACUUAGCUCAUACGUGGCUCAUAUUUUUAUUGAGAUAUUCUGUUUUAAGUAAACAUGAAUUUAGCAAAAAAAAAUUUCUGAUUAUCCUCACAGUGAAGUUUAAACACUCUGACAAGCUAGCUAGCUAAUUUAGCUUUAGCUACUCCCUCAAAGCUACCUACCUAGCGCUGCUCCGUAUUUUAGCGCUAGCUGUGUGUUUAGUUAGUCUACUACUUAGCAUAAUCAGCUAUCUAUAGUUAAUACCUGUUAGCUAGCCUGUUAGGUAUUUAUGUUUAGCUGAAAUAAUCCUCAGUUUAAUUAUAAACAAUUUUAAUCUAUUUAGCUUUAGCUAAUUUUUGCUGAUUGUAAUUGUUUUAGGACACCACGUGGGUGUUUCAUCCAAUAGAACGGUGUCUGUGCCUUCAGGGGGGGCGGACACGUCCUCCACACUGGAGCUCUACCUCGCUAGCAUGCUAACUAGCUUGAUGGGUAACUCAUGAAAUAUGAUGAUAAUGUAGUUAACCAGUUUCUGUGGUGAAAUCAAAUGUUACUUAAAAAAGUAUUUAAUUGCGCAUGUUUAUGUUUAUGAAAAGCUACAGCCGCCAUCUCGGAAAGGAAACCUCCUCUUACCCGACACCCCCUACUUCCUGUUACAAGCACCAGAGUGCAUUAUGGGUAUUUGGCCUGGUUUGAACUGUGUACAUUAGUGCGCUACUUUGCUCAUGACCUCAAAACUCACUAAGUAGUGAAUAGGGUUGUUUUUUUGGACUUAUGCAGCAGUGCAUUCUGGGUAAUUUGGGCUUGUGUAAGGAACAAAGUAGCAGUUAAGAUGGUGGACAGACAGACAGACAGUGAGUCAGACAGACAGAGUGUGCCGCAGUAAGGGGGAGUGUAUGAGGGAGUAUUAAAGCCCUGAUUUGGGACGAGGCCGGUGUGUUACUCCUCUCAUGCGAAACCGUACAGACCUCAGGAAAACCACGAGAACCUCCACAGAGAACACUUUUAUACGUCCAAGUUUUUUUCAGCGCAGAAAGCGUUUAUAACUUUUAAUAAUGGUGUGCACAUGAAUAUUAAUGAGGAUGGUAUUUUUAUGGACGAGGGUUUUAGAGUUUAGAGUCUUAAUGGCGCUUUAAUUACACGCAGAAAAAAAAAUCGACGCUUCUUGGUGUGUUUGUGUUUGUUCUUAAUCGCAACAUGAAUGUGCAACUCUCUUUUUAUUACCAUAUAUAUAUAUAUAUAUAUUGUAUUGAGAUAUUACAGGCUUCAGUCUCAGUUACCCAGCAUGCCUCGAGUGUAAACCUGCAUGGAACCUCAUUAAAGAUUAUUAAUGAU
ensembl:lncRNA